rnacentral:tRNA from 6 species
GCCCUCGUAGUUCAAUGGAUAGAACAGUUCCGUCCUAAGGAAUAGAUGUCAGUUCGAUUCUGACCGAGGGCACCA